UACAGCAAACAGCUUCCAGACAAGCAGCUUCCCGGAGGAAAAGGACACAGCUGCACUGACCAGUAUCUUCUAGCCGAAAAGAGGUCCAGCGCACCCAAGACACCAGCAAAACAGUAACUAAAACAACUUCGCUGCCAAACAGAUCAUCCUGCCAUUCUCACAGUCGAAGAGGAUUCCACCCCAGAGCCGCUACAAAUACUUCCUUUCUUACUUGCUCGACCAUCUUUGUUCCCCAGAGCAACAUGCUUCGACUUCCGUCUUCCCUCCUCCUGUAAUAAAGACCACAGAUUCAGCCAAAAGCUAAAAGGUUUAAUCUCUGCAAAAGGAUCAGUCCACAUACCAUUAGCUCGGUGGCUUUCAGCUUGCUAGAAUGAAGUUGUACUAUAAUGGAUACAGCUUGCUGUUCAUACAUUGGCAGUUUGGCACCGCAAGAAAAUCCUGAAACAUUCUGGUGCACAUGCAAAUUCUCUGCUAGUUGCUGAUGCACAUGAGCCACUGGACAUGCCAAUCCUCCUAAGACUCAAUGCACCAAACCCAUCCACAGAUUUUGUCCCGUAUUGGAACCAUAUUACCCCCUAAAUCCCCAUCAGUUCAGGGGGAAUGGCAGAGGAUUAAGCCAUAGGCAGGAUUCAGGUUUUUUUUUUUUUGUUCAUUUCCCCCUAAAUCCCUCCCAAUCCAAGGGGAUUGGCUCACACCCGAACAAGGCCUCAUGGCUUCCUGGUACAAGCAUGAGGGAGCUCAGUCAAGGGAGGAGCCCGGCCAGGGAUCGAUCCCGCCGCCGCCGCCGCGCAGCCUCGCCAGGAGUGGGAGGAGCUCGUGCGAAGGGAAGGAGGGGAUCUCGCCACCGCCGUGCCUGGGGUGGGGGGCAUACGAGCUGGCGGUGCCAUAACUCCGGGGAGCUUGCCUCGCCUCGCCGCCGCUCUCUCGUCUCGUCUGCUCUGGUUGGGGAGUUUGAGGGAGAGACGCCUUGGCCUUGCCCUGGUUCGGGUCGUCGUUGUUCUGGCUUUUGCGGCUUUGGGCUCGAUGGAAAACGAAGUGGGUCUUCAAGGUUCAGAUCAAACGGUUGUUUUUUUUUAGCUGGACUGCCGACCGUUCGUGGUCCUGAUAACGGUCUUCCCAAAUACGGAGUAAACAACAAAAGAAAUGUACAAAACGAAUUCACGGUAAACAUGUAUUCUUUCUGCAACGCGCAGAUAAUAUUACGCUAGUGUACGUCUAUAUAUAUUCCGAUGGUGUUUGAGAUGCAGGACUAAGUCGACGUCCCGCGUGGCCACGGCGAGGCCAAGCUAGCUGUUGAUCAACAUCGGCAUCCACGAGGAACGCACCGCCACCGUUCCCGUCCGCGGGAAGAAGAGGCUUCAUGUGAAGCUGGGCGGCGGCAGCACGCUGGUUGCCAGGGCCAGGGGGACGACGUCGUCGUGCGAUGAGGUGUGUCGACCGCAGCGGGCACUCGACGACCACUCUCGCAUGCUGCGACAAUGGAUCAAGGGGAUUGCAUUUCCGAAUCACCAUCUCUAACAAGACUAGAUCGAGGGGAGUUAUACCUGGGCAUUCUAGGGCCGGGCUGGACCCUCAAGACUGAAGCCCGAGCCCGGCCCGGCAAAAAGCCCGAAGCUCGGCAAGGACAAUGUACAGGUCUGAAGCUCUUAAUAACGCAGCUAACAGUUCAACAGCUACAUAAUUACAUGCAUAAUAAGCCUCCAUAGGCUAUAGCCGAGCCACACAUGCAUAAAAGGUUCAGUUUCAUCUACUGUCCAGCACCAACGCCAUAAAUUAACUACUACAAGUACCAAAUAAAGUUUCAUCUUCCAAAACAUUGGUCUACAAACAACAUGUAACAAGAACCAUUUUGUAGCAUCAAAAGCAACAGCAGCAGCCAGCUAUCACAAACAGCAUGUAAUAAGAAUCUGAUGAGAGCUCGUUGUCAUUAGGAUUGGCAUUUGAAGAUUGUCCUUGCUUUUCCCUUUCCUCUUUCCCACCUACAAUUAAAAGAGUAACAAUUAAAUUCACCCUCAUGUGAAGGGCUUGCUCUGCUGGUGGGCGAGUGGCCGAUUGGGGAAUGGGGAUUUGGUUUCUAGGGUUCGGUCUCUUGCCGGGCUGCUCGGUGCUAAUUGGAUGGGCUGUAUUUUCUCUGGUCUACUUGCUACUGUGACAUAUUACUGGGCCGGGCUGAAUUUUAAAACCCGGCCCGAAACCUGUCUCGGGCUGAAUAUUGCGGCCCGAGCCCGACAACGCCGGGCUCGGGCUGCCCAUGCUCAGGUCUAAGGGGAGUGUCCCCUGUUGUUAGUAUUACUCUUUGAAUCUUUUAUUUUCGAUGAAAUCAUCAUUACUUGAAAAGAAGAAUGUAUAUUUCUCAUUCGAUUUACAAAUAGUUAUUUCCCACAAACAUAGCCUUUAGAUAGAGAUCUUCUUCGUCGUUUAUACAUGUAUGAAUGUUGUCCGAAUCUCAAUGUUACAUCGGACGGUUGUUAGCAUCAACUCAUAAAUAGUUAUUUCUCAAUCGCAUAAGAAAUAACAAAAGCGUAAAAGAUUUUACAAAAAUUGACCAUCACAAUGCAUGGUGUCCUUCUUUUACUUCACGCAUUUGUUGAUACCCUCCUCCUGUAUUUUGCUUGCAGAGAUUUUUCCCAUUAUGCCAUCACAUUUUCUUGUUCUUAUGCUUUAUGGAUUUUGUGUGUUAACAUACCAUCUUUUAUUUACUCCGUCAAUCUUCCAUCUAAUGGCCCUGAUCACUGGAUACAUCCCCAUAUUGAUGAUUUUUUCUUUAAACUUGUCAAACAAGCCUGAAACAUCUUAUAUUUAGGAACAUAUAUUAUCUAUUCCCUCCGUUCCUAAAUACUUGCCGUGGUUUUAGUGAAAAUUUGCCACCACCGUUAAUAUGCCAUGAUAGAGCUUACAUUCCAGUUUAAUAUGCCACCACCGUUCAGCCAGAGUCUUAUGUAGUCCUGUUACGUGUUAUGUGUCUUUUCUGUUGAAUCAUCAUUUGAGGAGAUAUCAUCAAUAGUUAGAAGAUGAUCGUCUCGUAAGUUCACAUAAAAAAACGGCAGCAUUUUCUUCGUAAAGAUAAAAAAACCGCAGCAUUUGCAUUACAUGUGCUAUUCCAUUCUAAUCGCAUACCACCAAUAUGCUUAUAUGCACGAAGCAAUGCAAGUAAAUUUAAGCAAGUUCUAUUAAAACUCUGAAUAUCCAACUGAUAAAUUCCACAAGCAUAUAAAACUGGUGUAGACUACAUAACGGCCGGCAAUAAAAACUAAGCAGAAGAUUUCAAUUUAUCCGUCGUACUCUCCAUCAGCAAACUUCUUCUCGGGGUAGAAGACAGCAUCCACCACCUUCCCGUCAAACCUCCUCCCAUGCAUCCCUGCCUUCGCGUUGGUCGAGCCAUCCACAUCUGCAUACUCCAAAAACACCUGCAAAGCAGAAGAAAAAUCAGAAUUGGUACAUUCCCAGGCAAUCCGUCACGAUGCUGAUUCGCGCAAAAUCAGGACUCACCUUGCCAACUCCAGCAACAGGAACACCAUUGGGAUGGGGUCGUGGGAUCACGGCUUGCACCAAGUUACCUGUCCGAGUUUAUCAGUGAGAACAUACACAGGAAAGAGAGAAAAAACAAACAUAUAAUCAAUCAAAUCCAGGUGAAAAAGAUUAGUGUCUUCUGUAGGUUAGGCCCGAUUGAGAGUUUUGCAUGAGGUCGGAUUAUAAAAGACUCGGCAAUGGUAUUAUGUGGCACUACAAAACAGACACACAGAAAGAAAACACAAAAAAGAAAACCAGUUCAGUAACUGAGCCAAACACAUUGAUAAAAACAGAGUAUAGAAGAGUACAAGAUAUUUAGUUCAGGAGUUUCAUGCUGGUUACCAUAUUUGCGCCCUUCAAAAGUCAUGUCUUCCAAGAUGUCUUUGUAUUCCUCAUCAUUUCUCAAGUCAUCUUCUGAAACCACCUGGGUCAAGCAUACCACCUUUGUCGGUAUGGCUCCACCAACUUCGUACACAAGUUUCUGCUCAGAAAUCAACAGCAUGAGAAAGUGAAAGGCUAUAUAAACUGAUUGUUUUAUAAGAUCGUGCCUCUUAAGAGCUAAAGUUGUACCUUCAUUUGUGCCUGAUGCUGUGCCUGCAACAGUAUGUUUUCAUGCUCUGGCCUAGGUUCAGCAGCUCCUUGGUUUGCUCGCCUAACUGUGAGAGUCCGGUCUCCCAACUGGAUACCGUUAAGAGCAGCACAUGCAAUGUCGGUGACAGCCAGAUCCUGGUAUACACAGAAGGCAUAGCCCUUCGAGUUGCCAGUUUCCCUAUCCUUCACAAUAUCAAAUCCACGAAGGGGCCCAAAAGUUUCAAGCAACUCCUGCACUUGAGCCUCUGUGAAAUAAUAGGGCAGACCGCCAACAAAAAUGCGGUCAGGACCUUCUAAACCUCCGGCUGAGCCAGGUGUCAAACCAACAGCAGCAAGAUUGAGAUUGGGGUUUGGCUGGCUUGGACCUAACACAGCUGCCUGGGAAGGAUUGUAGUCUGUUGGCCUCCUAACCUUCACUGGUGCUCCCUCAAACAAUAUACCAUCCAAGGCCAUUGCAUUGCUAGCUUCCUCCACAGACCUCAUCUCAACAAAUGCAAAUUUCUUGUCAUGGUUUAUGUAUACAUUAACAACUGCAUCACCUAGACCAGCUGCGUUUCCUCCAAUAGCAGCCAUAACAUGAUUGAAGUAUAUAGCAACCGUCUGCAGAAGGAAGAACGAAAUAGUUAGCACAUGCCACAUAUGGAGAAAGAGACACCAAGAAAUAACAAGUUACUCAAGAAAUUACCUGUUCAUUAGCGCUUGGAGGAAGUCCACCGACAUAAACACGCCGAGCAUGCCGAGUAGCCUAAGACAAGGGUGGUAAAACAAUGAUAUAUAUCAUAGAGCAAAAGUAGCUGAAGCAUGUACAUCAGGGAGCAAAAGUAGCUCAAGGAAACUCAUACCUGUUGUGUCAUUGCUUGCGGCUGAAUAACAUGUGGAUUGAUGCAAACAGAAGUGAAAAUUAGAAACCAAUAAUGAAACAUCAAUCAAAUAAUAAACAAUUAAAACAUGAUAAUAGAUCAUUGCUAGUUCAUUCUGCCAUCAUCAGAUAAGUUGCAAAUCAGAGUGAAGGAGCACAGUACUUACCUGUCCUGCUAUGGGUAUAUUAAACAUGUUUGGAAGCAUCGCAGGAAUAGCAGCAGGAACUGCAGGUAGCAGACCUGCAACGCAUCGAAAGUUUUUUUAAGGCAAAGUAAACACAUAUAGAAGAAGUAAAUUUAGGAUAACAAUGAUUUCAAGGUUGGUUCUUAAAUACAUGUUCAAGACAAGGCAAUACGUAUCAAGCAGAAUAGUAAACUUAUAGGGUUAAUGUGUAAAAAUAGAGACAUUCAAGCAGCAGCAGUUGUUUAUGUAAGUUCCUGCUUAAUAACUGCUUAUCAGGUCCCUUCCCAAUAAUAUAAAUUUAUAUGUCAAGAAUGUAAAACGGAAGGAUCCAACAAUGUUGUUUGUCCCCACAUACCUGGGGUUACACUGGGAGCAGCUAUAGAAAUGGUUUGUGAUGGUCCCUGAUCAAAUCCACUCACACGCUUGCUGGUUCAAUAAAGCAGAUGCUAGCAGGUAAUUCAGCAAAUGGAGAAGAAUAGUGCAUUACCGUAAGAAAACAGAGAUGGCUAAUAUGUACAUGAGAAAAACAAACCAUGCAUGACUAGACCUGUACCAACUACACGUGGUAUUAUCAAUUAUCAUCCAUGGUAUAGCAAGAAACGAAAUGGUAGUUAAAAUUUGUCCUUACAUUCUGUCAACAUUCCAACCAUACAAAACAAAGAACUAAGUGCAUUUUAACUGUCUUCCUCCAAAAAUUGAUUGAAGGUGCGCAAGCAAAUUUAGUGCUAAUGAUAUCAAAACCAAACAAAAUGUUAAUAAUAAGCCUUUGGAUGACAUAUAACACAUACCUUUGAGCCCUUGAACGGGAGCGGGAGCGGGACCGUUGCCUGCGAUGGCCAUCUCUAUCACGCUCUCUUCUGCAUUAUCACAGCAUACAUCAGGUUUUUGGAAUAAUUUUAUCAAGAUAGAAUUAUGCUUUAAGGACAGCAAUGUUUUCACAUCAAAUAUUCCACAAGAAAGUGGAACCUAAUCCAUUUAUGUCCAAAAACAACUGAUUAGCAGCAGGCAUUGGCAAACCAGUUAAGCAUAUAUUAUAAAAACCAACUAGUAAGCACCAUAACUACAAGAUAACACACCAGCAACCUUAACUACAUACCCGUCCUCUAACUGAUUAAGUGAGUUGGGAAUGCCAAUUUAGCUAAAAGGUUAUUGUGCGGAAUCACGAUGUAAAGUUUGAACCGGUCAAUAGUUUUACACAGGUAAAUUCCAAAACUCAAACAGUAUCUGCUAUAUAUGCCCCCUGUAAAAAGCAUACCAGUGAAAGUAAAAUACUACACCUUGCCAAUUUUCAGAAGAUAAAAAAAGCGGCCCGUUGAGUUCAAAGGAGAAAAGGUUUCAACAUAGUAAUUAACUACUCCCUCCAAUCCUAAAUUGCUGUCGUUGUUUUAUUUCAAAUUCGAACUAAAACAACGACAAGAAUUUAGGAUCGGGGGGAGUAGCAAUUACUAUUUCAUAGCUCGCGAUGCUCGAAGAACCAUAAUUAAAUCCAUAUAUGCAUUACAGAAAUCUAGACCCAGUACCUUUCAGACUCAUGAUUACGGCUCCGACGAUAAUCAUGAUCAUCAGAGCGACCACGGUGCUCCCUUCUUUCACUUCUUUCACGAUGCUCCUGAUGGUGGCGAUCACGAUCCCUGUUCCGGUCACCAUGCUCAUAGCCCAUCUCCCUGUCCCCGUACCUUGCUCUCUCUCUCCCACGGUCUCUGUCACGCUCCCUGUCUUUGCCCUCCUCUCGUUCUCUAUCCCUCUCUCUAGAUUUUGAGGACCUUUCCUUGUGAGGCUGUUCAUCAUGCUGGAAAAAAAAAACCUUCAUCAGAUUUAAUUCCAAAAUGCAGGGCUUCCUACAAGUAAUAUGGCAUAAUCGAUAGUCGGUACUCGCUACAUAGAACCAAAUAUGGAGUACAUAAAUUACUAUCAGGUGGGAUUGAAAUCUGACAGAUCGAUCGUCACAGAACACCAUGUCCGAGCACGAACAAAACAUGUUUAAAAGCUAUAAAAAAAAGUUCCUAGCAUCCCGUCCUCCAGCAUUAGCUCGCCGUUACCCUAAUCAGGAGCGGUUUCAAAUUCGCACAGACAGCAACCAAAUCUAGCCUAAUUGAACCGAUCCAACCGAAAUCCCCCCGCAACCAGAUCAUCAGACCUCGCCGCAGAUCACCUCACCGAAACAAGACCUGAAUGCCUCACCCAACCCACCUCGUACCGUCGUACGGGCGAAACCCUACACCCUAAGCGCGAAAACUAGAAGGGCUAGCUACGCGACCAAUCGGGGUGAGAUUCAGAGGCGCACCUGGGAGCGGGCGUCGCUGGACAGAUACCUCCCGGUGGCGGCGGUGCCCUCGGAGGGUUCAUCGUACUCUGCCAUGCGGCGCGUGGACUCCGUGCGGGGGUGGCGGUGGCUUGGUCGAGGUCGGUUCGUUCGAUUCCGUAUGGGGGGUGUCUUCAAAGCUCUGGUUCGUGGUUCGGCUAAGUUCCAGCCAACCCGUCACUUAUAUAAACAGCGCCAAUUGGAGUCGGUUUAUGUACGUCGGUUCUGAAUAUUUUACAGUUCCUGGUCGUAGAAAAACACAGUUCGAUCAUAUUCAGAAUAAUUGAAGUGCAACUCGAUAAAGAUUUGUAUCUGAAACUCUGUUUUGCAAAAGUUUGAUUCAGAGUUGUAUCUGAAUCGCGCUACACUGAAACUUACUCAAUUCAUCCAGAUUUACACUUUCCCAGAUAUGCAAAAAUCAUCUCUGUACAUACAGUUCUCCUAUAAAUAAUCUACACACACUGGUGACUGAAUUUACAUUACAUCCAGUUUAAUAAACUAGACAUAGAACACCUGCCCAACAUUGAGCAGGCUCUCAUGGGGAACAUUGAAGAUGACGCUGUUCUCCCUGCAGAUCUUCCUCAGGAAGGCGUACAGGUAGUUGAUGGCGAUCUUCUUCACCAGCCCCGAGUCCCUGCGGGCCCUGAUGACGGUGUUCCCGAGGAUGUGCACCACCCCGGCGUCCCUGCAUGAGUUCAGGAAGGCCACCUCGUCGCCCACCGUCUCGAACGCCGCCGUCGUCGUCUGCCCCGACAACAUGACCCGUCCAUUGUUGUUCUCCGGAGAACGCACAGGCACGAUGGAGUCAUGGGAGGCGUAGCUGCUGAGCUCGGCGAUGGACCUGGCGUUGCUGCUCACUUCGUUCAGCUCCUGCUGGUCCGCCAAGGCGCUGUAUUCGUCCGAGUCCGUGUACUCCUCCAUCAUGCUCUCCAGCCGGACGAAGAGCAGCAGGCUGUCGAAGAGCAUCUUCUCGAAGUCGUCGUCCUUCUUGUGGAUGUCCUUGUACCCGUACCGCGCCACGCAGCGGAACAUGUGGAAGUUCUUGGGGCCGAUCCGCUUCACCAGGAACCUCUCGUCCGUUGGCACGGUGUAUACCGGGAGGUACUUGACGCAUACGAACACCAGAGCGGAGUGGAUCGCUGGGAGGUUGGUGAUGAAGUGCGAAAAUAUGUGAGGAACACCGCGCGCCAGCUCCGUGUACACCAGCCCUAUCCCGGGUACCCUGACAAGACCAAGGCUCGGGCCAAGGCCUAAGAUCCAUGCCAUGGACACCUUGCUGUGCAUCUCGAACUCAUAGCGCUUGAGUGUGCCGUAAUGCCAAACGUACAUGACAAGGAGGAUGGCCACGGCGAACACAAGAGGAACCCAACCACCCUGGUCGAUUUUCCGCAUAACGGCAGUCAAGUACGGGAUCUCCACGACCAAUGAAAACACGGUGAAGAGGACGACCAAGGUCCAGUGGCUGCGCCAUACCAGCAGCAUUAUGGGGAUCAUGAGAAAUGUUGUGACAAGCAUAACCAUUAUCACAGCAGUACCUGUUUAGUCAACAACGCUCAUGUUAGCAACAGAGCAGUAAUGCACAUUGCAAACGUGAAAAUUCUAUAUCAAGAGAGAUAAGGGAGUUCCUUUUUUACCAUAUGCAUUUGCAAUUUGGGACUGUUUUUUAAAUCCAGCGGUGACAGCUAUGCAGAGAACCAUAAGAAUCCAAUUUAUAUCAGGACUGUAUAUCUGGCCAAGAUACUUCUUGGAGGUAUGGAUGAUCUUCACUCUGGGGAAGCAUCCCACUGCAAGCGCUUGCUUGAUGAUUGAAUACGUCGCGGAUAUAGUUGCCUGGCUGGAAACUAUUGCGGCAGCUGUUGCAACGGCAAAUGCUGGCCAAAGUAUACGAUCUGCACUAAAUUGUCAUGCUGUUAUGGAUUCCCAUAGAUACGGUGACUGGGGAAUUAUCAUGUCUGAAUUUUACCUGGAAGAGAAUAAUAGAAAGCAUGGGAGACAUUUUUUUUGUAUGUGGCUAUGUAGGCAGCCUGUCCAGUAUAUUGCAAAAGAAGGCAUGGGAACACAACCGUAGUGAAAGCAAUCUGUGUAUUGAAUGAUAAAGGAUGUUAUCAAGCAAGCAGAUAGAUGGAGUUAUGUACUCAAGUGGACGUUCUAUUAAACAUGUAGAUCUGCCUCUACAAUAUUUCUACUGAAUGCAUGCCAAAUGGUACCUGAAUAGCUUGCACAGGAAAAUAUGAAAGGUCUGCAAAUAGUGCUUCUGUCCCUGCAGCAUGAGCAAAAAAAGUCAGCUAUGCUUAUUAGCCAGUUUAAAAAGGACAUGCCUCCCUAUGGAAGUGCGAAAUCAGGUAAGAAUUACAGACCUGUUAUGCUGAGCAUAAUUCCUCCUAGGGAAGCCCAGCUAGUCUUCCCUCGCUUAAAGUAACGAUAUACAUAAAUAGGAUUGAACGCCUUAAGAACCGACCUAUCAUAUGUAUAAAUGUUCACCGCUCCCAGAACUCCAAUAAGUAUGAACCAAAUGAAUACUAUCGGUGCAAAUAGCCAGCUGACUUUAUCAGUACCAUAGUGUUGCAUGCUGAACAAUCCGAUCAAUAUCACCACAGAGACUAUUACAACCACAUCUGACAAGGAAAAGAAAUUACAGUGGCUCAGUUACCGAGGUCUAAUUCGUGGUAGUAUUUGUCUGCUCUAUCAGGUUAUACCAAAAGUAAAUGUUCCCAUGCCCUAUGAUAAAAGACAGUGCUUCAAAUCACAGUUAGCAUGUCGAGUUUACCAUUGCAUAGAAAAACAAUAUGGUUAAUUACUUAAGGUUGUUAUCAUACAUCAACAGUUCUGCUUAAAUUAACAUCAAUGGCAGAUUUGUCAUCUUGCUCUGAGAUGCAGCAGAAGCUAUAUAUAAGAGGACAUGGUAAAGCUAGUAAAAGCAGAAAAAAAAGUACUAACUUCAACAUUGCGCAUGUACCGUUUAUCAUUCUGGGUUCUUCCACUUGUAUUCCACCAGUUGCCGAAAGAACUGAUAAUUGUAAAGCACAUGUUAGCAUCAGUUUACUUGGGAAAAAGUUUGCAUCAGAACUAUGAAAUAAGCCUCGCAAAGAGAUACAUAGAACAGUGAAAAUGGAUAGAGAAAGUGUAAAACAAAACUUGCCAAUUGUGCUAAUUAAAUGUUUAAAGGGAUAGCCAACAUGCAUUUUUGUUGCUGAAAGUUUCUGGCAACCUAAUUUGAUUCUAAGUAAGCCAAGGAGGCAAGGACAGUGUACCAGUUCAUAUCUGGCUGAAAGCUCUUGGUUAUCCUAACAAUACCCACUUUGAUGAAAAACUGAUAGUAAUUAAUGAUAAGAGAAACCAUAGAGAUGCAGGUAGUCAGGUACUCACCUGAUAUGGCAGGAGUGAGAAUUCCAUCUCCAACAGCCAUGCAAGCACCAAAAAGUACAAGAAUAAGAAUGGCAUUCUUUCGGAAUUGGUGCCCCUCUAACCAUCUUUUGAUCUUUGCAGCAAGAGAUUUCUCAUCGUACGUAUGACGGCUGUAUGUUGUUAGCUCUUCAUCGGUUCUAUGUUGAUUGGGAAUGAUGUUUAUCUUUGCAUGCCGACAAAGCAGUGAAUAAAGAGCAAAUGUUCCACCUGAAAUUAGAAAUUAGCUAUAAGCAUGUUGAUACUCAUAGCGUAAAACAUGCAGAGAAAAAGAAGGCAGGAUGGAUUAGGAGUAAACUCAUAAGUAUCACCAUUUUGGGCUCCAUUGUGCAACACACUAGUGUGCUAUACUACUAUAAUAUGCCAAUUUAUUCUCAGGUACUGUGCAUGUUAUCAUAACCAUACCUUGGUGCAGUAAACUUUUUGUCCCUACAUGAGGCAACUGCGCAGACAAAAAUGUGGUAACUUAGCAGAAGGGCACGAAUUCAUCUUAGAGUGAUGGCUUUAUAGUCUACUGGCCGCCUUUUCCUCUAAAAGGAUUACUUAAAAUGGCAUACUCCCUCCGAUUGUACUAAAUCUGCGACAAGUAAUAUGGGUUGGAGGGAGUACCUUUUUUGUGAGGGGGAAAUAACUAAUGUGUUUCAGAGGUGCAAAAAUCUGGCUUUUCUCGAGACCAUGGAAAAGUGUGUUUGUAUUGGAAAGUUUAAAGUUCAGAAUGAACAUGCUAUUAUCUUUGGAAGAGUACCAUUCAUUCAUUCAGAGCUGCACCAACAGAAGAACUAAAUAAUUGUACUGCUGCAUGGACUUUAGGAAGGUCUUGACCAGAAUUUCCUUUGUAUGGUCACCCUAGGUCCCUAAGACAUGAGAUUUCCAUUUUCAGGUGAUCCUCAAAUUGCUGUUGAACAUGCUGUAGGUUCUUACUGAAUCUCAACAAAUAAGACAGAUUGCCUAUGUAAAAUCUACUCUUCUUACAACAUAGCGAGAAAAAAUCCUACCUUGGCCGUUAUCAUUUGCCCUCAACACAAUGAAAACGUAUUUAACAAGUGGAAUGAGAGUAAGGGAGUAGAUAAUAAGUGACAGUGCUCCAAUAAUUUGCUCCGUGUCUUCUAUUUCAUGAGGAAAGAUGUUGGAGAAGACAUAAAGAGGUGAUGUGCCUAAAUCUCCAAAUACCACACCAAGGCUUUGGAAAGCUAGUUGUAGCAGCAAAAUUGUCGGGUAGGUCUGCAGAUACAAGAGGGGAAAAUAAAGGGAAAUACAAAGUUACUUAUCUUACUUUAGCUAUUCAGUUAUCAGGAAUUCAGAAUAAAUACACCAAAUCACUUUGCAUCUUAGGCAAUAUCUCAAAUCAACUGAACUGGUAUAACCAUGUAUACAGCCAACUACCAGGGAGAAUGUACUACUGAAAAGAAUACUGCACUAGAUUAGAACACCAAAUUCUAAUGUCGAAACAUGGCAGGGAAAUAGGAGUAAAUCUUGUCGAGGAUGACGAAUAAACAAUUUAGUAAUUGGCUUAACAUCCUGGCUACAACCAGGAGUAAUUGGCCUGCAAGUAGCGGUGCCUUAUACUAGUAAAGCUCUGAAUCUAACAAAACACAAAAAUGCCAAUGUCCAUUGAUGAAGUGAUGUUGUCAACGAAACAUGUGAACUGUAGACUGUAGUUAGCAGCUUGUGGUCUUCCUACUAUGUUUCGUGACAUUUAUGCAAUGUCUUAAACCAAAUUAUAUUAUCUUCGGCAUGAUUUAGAUAUCAAAAUGGCAAGAGCAAAAGCUUAAAUGAUGAUCACCUUUUGUCUGUACAUAUUCCUGAGUCUCCCGGCCUCUGCAUCCAUAGGCGGAUCAAUAUUCCUUUCCAGUUCCCACAUUGCCCCCUUAUGCGGAUGCUCAUUUGUUGAACUUGAAAUGGUCUCCAUGAGUUCAGACCAAUUGGCAGCAGUAUCUUACAAACUGCAGGGCAAAAACUACCUCAGCCUAAUUGUAUUUGUUUUUCCUCUCUUGUAUAUAGAGACAGCACAAUAAUUAAACCCAGAACAGUGACAGUUACGGGUAGAAUUACAAGUUGAAAAUAAAUAAAUACUAAUAUGUGAAAUGAAAACAACAAGAGAUUAAGGAAAUCACACACACAGCUGACAGCCUCCCUCGCAUAAAAGCAAACCAGCAGCACAUAAUUAUUCGACCUUAAAUCUGAGCACAACUGCACAAUAUUCCAAUGGCGUCUAGGAAAGUAAAGCCGGAGCUAAGAGGCGUCCAGGACAUAGUACAAUUUUUACCAUUCAAAUUGCAGGCUUACGAUUCACGAAUGCUCAAAAGUAACAAAAAGGGAUCAAUGAUUCCGUGCCAUUCCCGCCGUACGAGCCGUAUCUACCAACAAUCGAAGGGAAAAUCCAUCGCUAACCUGACGAUCCUCGGAUCCCAAGCUCACGGAGAGUGCGCCGAAAGCCCAAAACUUGCCAAAGGCCCGUGGUCGCUCGUUCAGAACCUAGAGCGCCAGUCCCACGAGACCCAUUGCCAAGAUCGAGUCGCGUUGCCCUCGCUUCCCUGCUCACCACGUGCAACCGCGUGACGAACACCCGCCCCCAGGGACCGUGGAGACCUCGUCGCCCAUAUAGGAGGGGGUGAGGCGGGGAAGAAGAGGGGCCGCCGCCUCGCCGGUAUGUACGGCGUAAUGGACUCGUUCGGCUCCGGUGGGGUGGGGGGUGGAUGUGCGCCGCCGGGCGGGGGCACAAGAUUGGAUUUUUAAGCCGAGCAAAUGGAAUUUUGCUUCUCGAGGCGCAGGUUUGGUUGUCGGAUUAUAAACGUGAUUGAUGUGGAGGAGCUGAGAGGAGUGGAGAUGAUUUGGAACUUGUCGCUGUAAUGGCUAAUGGCCAUUGGCUAGUUGCUGUCGCGCUGCCAAGAUUAUGCUACUAUCAAGGACCGAAAUCUUACGAGAAACCGUAUUGCUAACUUGUCUUUUGCGUGUGAUGUCCAUGUCAUCAAUAAGAGUGAUCGGCAAUUUUGAUUGGCGUACGUGUGGCUAAACUUAGCACUGGUUCAGCCUGAUGAACUGUCUUGGUUUAGCCACUUGCAAAUGACGACGAUCGAAGAUGCAGCUCAGCAAUUGAAUAGCAAGCUCAUCAUUGGCUUUUUGUCGGAUGAUUAAUUAGCUGGAGAAACCGCGUCAUCAUCUAUUUCCCCAUUCACCAAGUACGACAAGAUAAGGUGGAUCGCAGUAAUCAAUUCGCUGACUCGCUUGCUUUUGCCAAGAAAAGACAAAUUAGCAUUGUGCUAGGAAAAAAAUUGUUACAAGUCUAAGACUAAGACUAGACCGAAAUAACCUGCUAUUGAGUGUCAUAAUUUUGUCAAAAUACACAUAUACCUACUCACUAAAACGUCUUUAGACAAAGUUGCGCCUACUUAAUAUAAGACGGUGGGAGUAUUGAUCUAAACAUGAUGCGGGGCAACCGAUAGACACAUGCGAUAUUUUUUAUCUCAUUAACUAACAAUGUUGUCAACAACUAUAUAUAAAUAUAAUAAAACUUUUUGUUAUGGAAUUCUUUUUCUUUCUUAAAGCGACGGACUUCUAAAUUUUCAUAAGGUCCUCCAGGAAUUUUCUCCACGGCUUGUUGAAUAAUUUUGACAGAUUCUCUCAUUUCACCGAUUCGUACUAAAUAGCGAGCUAAUGAAUCUCCUUCUUUUUGCCAUUGGACUUUCCAACCAAAUUGGUUGUAAGACUCAUAAAAAUCUACUUUACGAAGAUCCCAUCGUAUUCCAGAAGCUCGUAACAUGGGUCCUGAUAAGCCCCAAUUUACUGCUUCUUCUCCGCUAAUAAAACCUACUCGCUCAACUCGUUCCAAAAAAAUAGGAUAUAAGUGUGUUUUUGUAGCUUUAAGUGACCAAUGUCCUCUAGUUUUAUUGAGAUGCUUUAAUUUAAAGCUUCACAUAACAAUAUUUUGUGCUUUCUUGGUGCUUGAAAUAUGUUUGCAGUCUGCAUGGCAGGAGUGUUACGCUUUCAGAACUUUAGGACUGUGUUUAACUAAUAAUGUCUUUUCGAAAAAAUACUAACUAUGUUUGACAAGUCACUACCUAGUUUUAAAAUACACCUGCUAUGUGAGAAAAAUGGUACUCCCUCCAAUUCAUAAUAAGUGUUGUACUAAAUCUGAGACAUUUGUUAUGGAUCGGAGGGACUAGAUUGUUAAUUUCGAUCGAGAUCGAGAUGAUGAAGUAACGGGAAAUCCAAGCAUGAGAUUAAAGGGAAACAUGCAACACGGGUGGUGCCUUCUAUAAGGUAGAGGUUGGUUGUUUAGGUAAUUAUUACUUUAGGUAUUUCUUUAUGUGCCUUUCCUUGUCUUUUACAUUCUAAUAUGACUAGCUAAAUAGAGUGUGUUGCCGCAGAUCAACAAAUUGCAUUACCUCAAUACCUUUAUUUGCUCCUAACAUACAAGUUUUUGCUAUAAAAAAAUAUGUUCUCAUGUAUAAAAAGAUCACUAAGCAGAAAAUGAACGGGCUGCUUGCCACCACUUGAGUCCACCUGCAACAUUGAAAACAGUAUUAAUUGUUGGGGUUGACACACAAGAGACCUCUUGUUAUGUGUUUCUAGCUAGGAUUGCUUGCCUAGCUCCCACAGAUUGAUAAACCUUUAGUUCCUUUUUUUUAAAAGGAAAGCCACCAUGGCUUAUUGGAGUACUUAGCAAAUAGAGUUACAUCAUCCAUGAUUCCAUUGAUAAGGAAGUUGGGAGGCUCUAGCUAAAGAAGUAAAGGGCCAUCGGCCAUACUAGCUAGGAUUUUAAUAAACCUUAAGUCACUCUUAAAAGGAAAAUGGUUGGUGGCCAGCCCAACAAAUCCUGCAUCGCCGUCAACUUUGCCAUCAAGCAUUUCUCUAGUGCACUAUUAGGAAAGCGAAUUAAGACCACCAUAGGUAAAAAAAUUAUACUCCUGUAUAGAUUUGUCAAUAUUUCCAACUUUGCCAAUCUUUGCAUAGUCUUUUUUUUUUGUGAUAAGCAGUUUAUAGUCUGUUGGACAACUAAAAUACGAAAUCUAGGAUGUAGCAUGUCCUCUUAAUUUUCUUGCAGUCCUGGAGAGAAGCAAGACAAAUUUUGUCUAAAUCCUCGCAUCAAAAAAGAGAGAGAAGGGAAGGCCCGGUAAGAGAAGUUCCCUCUUCUCAAUGGAGUCUUUCAUAUGAAAUGAAAUGAGUAACGUAGUAGAAAUUGAGUUAGGAGGCAAAACAGACAGCAACACGAGCAUGACUACAUUCCUAACCACCUUUGUCAUUUUAUUAGGCACACAAACCUAGCUACCUGAACGGGUCCAGUUUCAUCUAAAAAAAACACGGUCCAGUUGUGCCCGCAUGUAGCAGUUGUACCGGAACAAACCACCGGCCCAAACAAAGGAACGGGCCCCAGUAUUUUUUUUUUUUUUUUUUUUUUUU
rnacentral:lncRNA from 1 species